GAUGAACGCUAGCGACAGGCUUAACACAUGCAAGUCGAGGGGCAGCAUAGAAGUAGCAAUACUUUGGUGGCGACCGGCGCACGGGUGAGUAACGCGUAUGCAACCUACCUAUCAGAGGGGAAUAACCCGGCGAAAGUCGGACUAAUACCGCAUAAAACAGGGGCACCGCAUGGUGAUAUUUGUUAAAGAAAUUCGCUGAUAGAUGGGCAUGCGUUCCAUUAGGUAGUUGGUGAGGUAACGGCUCACCAAGCCGACGAUGGAUAGGGGAACUGGGAGGUUGGUCCCCCACACUGGUACUGAGAAACGGACCAGAGUCCUACGGGAGGCAGCAGUGAGGAAUAUUGGUCAAUGGGCGGGAGCCUGAACCAGCCAAGUCGCGUGAAGGAAGAAGGAUCUAUGGUUCGUAAACUUCUUUUGCAGGGGAAUAAAGUGCAGGACGUGUCCUGUUUUGUAUGUACCCUGAGAAUAAGGAUCGGCUAACUCCGUGCCAGCCGCCGCCGUAA
rnacentral:rRNA from 1 species